UUUAAUUAAUCCCACCUAAAUUAUAUGUUUUUAAAGAUAUCUCUCAAUUAAAAUGAGGGUAGUACUAACCGGUAUCCUAGAUGUAAAAAAAAAAAGAAAAACAAAUUUUAACUUGAAAACAACACUUUACAUUUUUAAAGGAUUGAUUAUAUAAGUUCCAAUGCAAUAUUACACGGUAAAUAUAAACACACCAUAAAAUGUCCUUCAAGUUAUCUACCAAAAAAAAAAAAAAAAAUGUUCUUCAAGUUCAACUAACUCUAUCAUCAUUUCACAAUCUCCACACACACACACCAAUGUCUCUCCUCAAACACCCACGUGUCGCUGUUCUCUCUCUCUCUCUUUAUCACAACCAAUCUCUACAACAAGUAGUUUGUUCAACUGGAAUGCUUCUAGUAGCUUUCUUACCUCGGUCAGUUGCUACUAUAAUUGGCACGCUAGUCGCAUUUCUAAUAGUGCCUACAAGAUCUCUUGGUUCUGACAAAACACUAGCAUAAACCGAAGACAAGAUUAUGGAGUAAAAUUUAUGCAAUAAGCUCUUCGCUUCAAAUUAGAGGACCUAAAUUACCUGAAAUCGCCAUCGGAGGACCUAAAAUACCUGCAGAGACUGCACCACCAACCACCGAUACAGUUUUCUAAUUUAAUGUAACACGUUUCUUGUUGCCUUUUCUGUGUUCAGCCAGAUUUUGUGGAAUUGAUGGAGAGGGAUGGAAGAUUACUGUGAAAGUGAUGUGACCUUUUGUACUGUCAUGUGAAAUUAUUUUCCAAUAAAAAUGAAGUGCUUGGCUGGUUAAUUCGUUGAAAAAUUGGGUUAAGCACUUAAGCUGAAUAAAACUUCUAUAAUUUUAUAUCUGAUCAUAUUAUAUUUGAUAGUUCAUGUUAUAUUUUCAUUCAAGAUGAUCAAUGUUUUAAAUCGGGUUUGCGGUAACAUUUUGGUUGCAUCACGAUCCUCGAUGUUGGGGGGGGGGGGGGG